UCAGCGUAGCUUGAAACAACAAAAAAGUUGGUUGAUAUCCAAGCAAUAAAAUUUGUUGUUCCAAAGCCAAAUUUUGUCGCUUUGAAUACAAACAUUUGUUUGAAUACAACUAAUAAGUUUGGUUAUAACAACUCAAAAACAUGACAUUAAUUGAAGGUUGGUCAUGGUUGUCUCAAACUAGUUUUUUAGAUCUUUACAACCAAAGCAUGGUUUUUUUUGCCAUAAAUUAGGUUAUGUGGUGAUCUCGUGAGUAGUCAAAAUCAAUCUAUAUUAUUAGGUUGAUAUUGGUAGUAACAUAUUUUGAAUUCAACCAAUAUUAUGCCUCUCAAGAAAAAUCAGAAUAUGGCGAUUAUCUGCCUCUGGCUUCUGAUAAAUAUUUUGUUUGGCGAAAUUACAACCUGAACUUUAGUUUGAAACGAACCAAAGGUCUAGCUUGUAAAAUUUCCUGUCAUCCCGCUCGCCGACGGGGUGUGUUUUUCAGACGCCAUUGCUGAAAGCAUUCGACAAGCAAAUUGCGAUUGCUUUAUCCAGCCAAUUCAUGCCGCCGUAAUUAGCAAUGAAAGGAUCAAAAUGAAAGAAUCAGUCUCCCAGGGAAAAAAUAUGGUGCUAUAGACGAUGUCGGUAUCCUGGGGGAGAAUAUUUACAGUGUGGACUACAAAGGAGCUCAAUCAUAUAAUUGAUUUAUGGCAGAACAAUAUAAUGAAUUCAUUUGAAAAGAGUAACAAACAUGUCCUAUUAAAAUAAUUUCAAUAAUAAUAUGCAUAAAUAAGUGAACAAAAUAUGCUUGUUUUUUUUUGUGAAAAGCAAGAAACCAAAUGAAACAGGAAGGGGGGAGGAGGUAAGGGUGCCGAGGUAAAACAAAAAACGGUUUUCUUUGAUUCAAACUAAUGUUUGGUAAAUGCAAACUAAAAAUUUUGGCCUAAAACAACCAAGUUGUUUGGUUGAUUCAACAGACGUCAAAUGAGACAACCAAUAUUUUGGUAGUUUCAAAAAAGUAUUUGUUGUAUGUAAGUCUCGAUGUAAGUGUAACUACGUAGAAAAACUUACUUUAGAUUUUAGGUUGUUUCAAGCAACGCAUAGCCUCAAAGUGAAGUCUAAAUUUGUUUGUGCAAAAUUCAAUAUGUACUUUUGGUUGAAUCAAAUCAAAAUUUGGUUCAAUUCACCAAAGUUUUUUUCUCCGUGUACUACUAUACAGUAAUAUAUUAUGUUUCCAGUUCAAAACCGAAUUAGCGACAUCUUUUCCUUGACUUCCUAGAGCAUCAGGUGUACAAUACAGCGCCCCACUUCCAACAUUGUGUUUAACGCAAGGCAAAAGCAGCGGAAGUCAAAGAAAAAAUGUCGCUAAUUCGGUUUUGAACUGGAAACAUAAUAUUAUAUUGUGGAUUUGCCGGCUACUUGUAUUCUACCGGUUACUAGGAUAGCCAUUACAAAGUAGCCGUUUUCUUAUAAAAAUCAACUUGAUUGUCAAAAAAUGAAUGUCGCUGAAUAGCUAGUGGCAACAAGGAAUAGCGCAUACAAUAAAAAUGUUUAAAAUCAUUUUUAUUUUUUUCUAUUUAAAACGGCUACUUUGGA